UUCGCCCUUAGAGUUUGAUCCUGGCUCAGGACGAACGCUGGCGGCGUGCCUAAUACAUGCAAGUCGAACGGAGAUAUUCGCUGAUGAAGUACUUCGGUAAUGAAUCUUGGAUAUCUUAGUGGCGGACGGGUGAGUAACGCGUGAGCAACCUGCCUUUCAGAGGGGGAUAACGUUUGGAAACGAACGCUAAUACCGCAUGACAUUAUCUUAUCGCAUGGUAGGAUAAUCAAAGGAGCAAUCCGCUGAAAGAUGGGCUCGCGUCCGAUUAGGUAGUUGGUGGGGUAACGGCCCACCAAGCCGACGAUCGGUAGCCGGACUGAGAGGUUGGACGGCCACAUUGGGACUGAGACACGGCCCAGACUCCUACGGGAGGCAGCAGUAAGGGAUAUUGGUCAAUGGGGGAAACCCUGAACCAGCAACGCCGCGUGAGGGAAGACGGUUUUCGGAUUGUAAACCUCUGUCCUCUGUGAAGAUGAUGACGGUAGCAGAGGAGGAAGCUCCGGCUAACUACGUGCCAGCAGCCGCGGUAAUACGUAGGGAGCGAGCGUUGUCCGGAUUUACUGGGUGUAAAGGGUGCGUAGGCGGCUUGGCAAGUCAGUAGUGAAAUCCAUGGGCUUAACCCAUGAACUGCUAUUGAAACUGUCGAGCUUGAGUGAAGUAGAGGUAGGCGGAAUUCCCGGUGUAGCGGUGAAAUGCGUAGAGAUCGGGAGGAACACCAGUGGCGAAGGCGGCCUACUGGGCUUUAACUGACGCUGAGGCACGAAAGCGUGGGUAGCAAACAGGAUUAGAUACCCUGGUAGUCCACGCUGUAAACGAUGAUUACUAGGUGUGGGUGGACUGACCCCAUCCGUGCCGGAGUUAACACAAUAAGUAAUCCACCUGGGGAGUACGGCCGCAAGGCUGAAACUCAAAGGAAUUGACGGGGACCCGCACAAGCGGUGGAGCAUGUGGUUUAAUUUGAAGCAACGCGGAGAACCUUACCAAGUCUUGACAUCCUGUUGACCGUCCCUUAGCCGGGACUUUCCUUCGGGACAGCAGAGACAGGUGGUGCAUGGUUGUCGUCAGCUCGUGUCGUGAGAUGUUGGGUUAAGUCCCGCAACGAGCGCAACCCUUAUCCUUAGUAGCCAGCAAUACGGAUGGGAACUCUAGGGAGACUGCCGGAGACAAUCCGGAGGAAGGUGGGGAUGACGUCAAAUCAUCAUGCCCCUUAUGACUUGGGCUACACACGUGCUACAAUGGUGGUAACAAAGUGAAGCGACCCCGUGAGGGUAAGCCAACCACAGAAAAGCCAUCUCAGUUCGGAUUGUAGUCUGCAACUCGACUACAUGAAGCUGGAAUCGCUAGUAAUCGCAGAUCAGAAUGCUGCGGUGAAUACGUUCCCGGGUCUUGCACACACCGCCCGUCA
rnacentral:rRNA from 1 species